UGGACGGCAAGGUGUCUUUUUGGCCACCGUAUAAAGACACCAAGCGGACGAAAAUUGCAGUCAUCCAAAGCGCUAUGCCAGAUGAGACCUGGGGAGAGUUUUUUGUGGAGGUGGUGAAAACCUUUGCCAAUUAUGAUGCAGCGCGUAUGAACCUGAAAAAAGCCCAAACCAGGAGCACCCCGACAUCAGAUGAUGAAGGGGGUAAAAGAAGGAGAAUCCCUUCUUCAAAGCUGAAAGAAACUGUGCCUGCAGAUGAGGGGGAGAAGCAUACAAGGUCUGAUUACAGAUGGCCAUGCAUUAUCACUCACAUGAAGACAUUUUGUGAUUGGCAAGUUUGCAGUCUUACAAAACUGUUGUUGUUCAUACUCUUGUACUGUUCCAAUGUAUAGGGCUAAGAAAAAAGAAAAAAAAG